CUGGAACUCAUCUCCAACAUCAUCCAGCUGCUGACUGGAGAGAAGUGGGAGAAUUUAAAAAAAGACCUAAUUAAAGAAAUGACAAAGGAAGAGCCCCAGCAGCUCCGCCCACUGGACGGUGAAUAU